AUCUAGCUGUCGAGUCCAAAAUGGGACGAAACAUGCGUCCUGGAU
rnacentral:hammerhead_ribozyme from 1 species